rnacentral:rRNA from 1 species
AGGACGAACGCUGGCGGCGUGCUUAACACAUGCAAGUCGAACGAGAACAGAUGGGAGCUUGCUCCUGGCUGUUCGAGGUGGCGGACGGGUGAGUAACGCGUGAAUAAUCUGUCUCACACGAGGGGGAUAACGCAUCGAAAGAUGUGCUAAUACCGCGUAGGACCAUGAUGGGCAUCCCAUUGAGGUGAAAGGAGCAAUCCAGUGUGAGGUGAGUUCGCGUCUGAUUAGAUAGUUGGUGAGGUAACGGCCCACCAAGUCAACGAUCAGUAGCCGACCUGAGAGGGUGAUCGGCCACAUUGGGACUGAGACACGGCCCAGACUCCUACGGGAGGCAGCAGUGGGGAAUAUUGGGCAAUGGGCGAAAGCCCUGACCCAGCAACGCCGCGUGAAGGAAGAAGGUUUUCGGAUUGUAAACUUCUGUCCUAUGUGAAGAGGAGAAGACGGUAGCAUAGGAGGAAGCCCCGGCUAACUACGUGCCAGCCGCCGC